rnacentral:rRNA from 1 species
GACGAACGCUGGCGGCGUGCUUAACACAUGCAAGUCGAACGGUGAAGGGGCCUGCUUUUGUGGGCCCUGGAUGAGUGGCGAACGGGUGAGUAACACGUGAGUAACCUGCCCCCUUCUUCUGGAUAACCGCGUGAAAGUGUGGCUAAUACGGGAUAUUCUGGGUCUGUCGCAUGAUGGGUCUGGGAAAGAUUGCGCCUUUGGGUGUUUUUGGUGGGGGAUGGGCUCGCGGCCUAUCAGCUUGUUGGUGGGGUGAUGGCCUACCAAGGCGGUGACGGGUAGCCGGCCUGAGAGGGUGGACGGUCACACUGGGACUGAGACACGGCCCAGACUCCUACGGGAGGCAGCAGUGGGGAAUAUUGCACAAUGGGCGCAAGCCUGAUGCAGCGACGCCGCGUGAGGGAUGGAGGCCUUCGGGUUGUAAACCUCUUUCGCCAGUGAAGCAGGCCUGCUCCUUGUGGGUGGGUUGACGGUAGCUGGAGAAGAAGUGCCGGCUAACUACGUG